GAUGAACGCUAGCGGCAGGCCUAACACAUGCAAGUCGAGGGGCAGCGGGGAAGUAGCUUGCUACUUCUGCCGGCGACCGGCGCACGGGUGCGUAACGCGUAUGCAACCUACCUAUAACAGGGGGAUAACACUGAGAAAUUGGUACUAAUACCCCAUAAUAUUCUGAACGGCAUCGUUUAGAGUUGAAAACUCCGGUGGUUAUAGAUGGGCAUGCGUUGUAUUAGUUAGUUGGUGAGGUAACGGCUCACCAAGGCUACGAUACAUAGGGGGACUGAGAGGUUUACCCCCCACACUGGUACUGAGACACGGACCAGACUCCUACGGGAGGCAGCAGUGAGGAAUAUUGGUCAAUGGACGCAAGUCUGAACCAGCCAUGCCGCGUGCAGGAUGACGGCUCUAUGAGUUGUAAACUGCUUUUGUACUAGGGUAAACCCGGAUACGUGUAUCCGGCUGAAAGUAUAGUACGAAUAAAGACCGGCUAACUCCGUGCCAGCAGCCGCGGUAAUACGGAGGGUCUAAGCGUUAUCCGGAUUUAUUGGGUUUAAAGGGUGCGUAGGCGGUUUGGUAAGUUAUAGGUGAAAGCCCGAUGCUCAACAUCGGAACUGCCUGUGAUACUGCCGAGCUAGAGAGUAGAUGCUGUGGGCGGAAUGUAUGGUGUAGCGGUGAAAUGCUUAGAGAUCAUACAGAACACCGAUUGCGAAGGCAGCUCACAAAUCUAUAUCUGACGCUGAGGCACGAAAGCGUGGGGAGCAAACAGGAUUAGAUACCCUGGUAGUCCACGCCGUAAACGAUGAUAACUCGAUGUCGGCGAUAUACAGUCGGUGUCUAAGCGAAAGCGAUAAGUUAUCCACCUGGGGAGUACGUUCGCAAGAAUGAAACUCAAAGGAAUUGACGGGGGCCCGCACAAGCGGAGGAACAUGUGGUUUAAUUCGAUGAUACGCGAGGAACCUUACCCGGGCUCGAACGGCAGAGUAAUAUAUGAGAGAUCGUAUAGUCAGCAAUGAAUUCUGUCGAGGUGCUGCAUGGUUGUCGUCAGCUCGUGCCGUGAGGUGUCGGCUUAAGUGCCAUAACGAGCGCAACCCUUGUCGUUAGUUGCCAUCAGGUAGUGCUGGGGACUCUGACGAGACUGCCACCGUAAGGUGUGAGGAAGGGGGGGAUGACGUCAAAUCAGCACGGCCCUUACGUCCGGGGCGACACACGUGUUACAAUGGGGGGUACAGAGGGCAGCUACCAGGCGACUGGAUGCGAAUCUCGAAAACCCUUCUCAGUUCGGAUCGAAGUCUGCAACUCGACUUCGUGAAGUUGGAUUCGCUAGUAAUCGCGCAUCAGCCAUGGCGCGGUGAAUACGUUCCCGGGCCUUGUACACACCGCCCGUCAAGCCAUGGAAGCUGGGGGUGCCUGAAGUCCGUUACCGCGAGGAUCGGCCUAAGGCAAAACUAGUAACUGGGGCU
rnacentral:rRNA from 1 species